rnacentral:rRNA from 1 species
UAGGGAAUCUUGCGCAAUGGGCGAAAGCCUGACGCAGCGACGCCGCGUGCGGGAAGAAGGCCUUCGGGUUGUAAACCGCUUUCAGGAGGGACGAAGCCACUCGGGUGAACAGCCCAGAGGGUGACGGUACCUCCAGAAGAAGCCCCGGCUAACUACGUGCCAGCAGCCGCGGUAAUACGUAGGGGGCAAGCGUUGUCCGGAUUCAUUGGGCGUAAAGAGCGUGUAGGCGGUCAGGUAGGUCGGUUGUGAAAACUGGAGGCUCAACCUUCAGAGGUCGACCGAAACCCCCUGGCUAGAGUCCGGGAGAGGAGAGUGGAAUUCCUGGUGUAGCGGUGAAAUGCGCAGAUAUCAGGAAGAACACCCGUGGCGAAAGCGGCUCUCUGGAACGGUACUGACGCUGAGACGCGAAAGCGUGGGGAGCGAACAGGAUUAGAUACCCUGGUAGUCCACGCCGUAAACGAUGGGCGCUAGGUGUGGGAGGUGUCGACUCCUUCCGUGCCGAAGCUAACGCAUUAA